rnacentral:rRNA from 1 species
GGCAGCAGUGGGGAACUUUGGACAAUGGGCGAAAGCCUGAUCCAGCAAUGCCGCGUGAGUGAAGAAGGCCUUCGGGUUGUAAAGCUCUUUUGUCAGGGAAGAAACGGUGAAGGCUAAUAUCCUUUGCUAAUGACGGUACCGUAAGAAUAAGCACCGGCUAACUACUUGGCANCAGCCGCGGU